AGACAAGCUGGUGCUAGUGGUGGGGUAAUUGGUUGGGAUUUGUGUGAGCAUUCUGCUGCCUGAUUACAUGAGCAUCCAAGUGAUAUACUUUGUACAAUUUCUAUUUUUCCACUUAUCUUUAUGUUGGAAUAUAAUUGGGAUCUCAUUUAGAGUUGUAGGAACAAAAUGUAUAAGUUGUGGGUUUCACACCCUAAAGGCUGAAGAAUAAGGUGCAUCCUCCAUACCAGGUUGGACCCUGGUCUGAAUAAAGUCUAGCCAUGGAGGUACUUCAGUCUUGGCAGGAUGGGGAGCUGCUUUUGAAAACCCUCUGUGGAGGCACUUCAGCCUUGGCCGGUGAGUGGGAAUUACCAAUCUCGGUGUUGUAGGAUGGGCUUUACUUUGGGAGAUAUUUAGUCCCCGAAGCAUUUUAUUCUUUAUGGUUAAGUAGGCAUGCCGGUGCUGGAGGUAGGAUGUGGAGAUAUUGGUUUUGGUGUUAAGACUGAGUCUCUGUCUUUUUUAGGCUAGGCCCUGAUAAGGUAA